UACGGAGGGGGCUAGCGUUGUUCGGAAUUACUGGGCGUAAAGCGCACGUAGGCGGCUUUGUAAGUUAGAGGUGAAAGCCCGGGGCUCAACUCCGGAACUGCCUUUAAGACUGCAUCGCUUGAAUCCAGGAGAGGUGAGUGGAAUUCCGAGUGUAGAGGUGAAAUUCGUAGAUAUUCGGAAGAACACCAGUGGCGAAGGCGGCUCACUGGACUGGUAUUGACGCUGAGGAGCGAAAGCAUGGGGAGCGAACAGG
rnacentral:rRNA from 1 species